ensembl:lncRNA
CGUGUAUAUUUUGGGUCCGUGUAUAUUUUGGCAAUUGGAUUUUCCUUUCUGAAAUGGAGUGAAAGUAGCAGUUCCUCCUGAAGGUCAGAGAUUGCAGCAUCUGAGGGCCUCUUCAAAAGAAGAUGUAGUUGAUGAAGACGUUCUGGAGCAGGACCAGAAAGACCACGACCAAGCAGCCUUGAGAUCUUAGACAGCGUCUCCCUCAGACCAAAGAACUACAGACUCUUCACAACCUGCUCAAACUCUUGGUACAGGACCUCACCACACGGAUCAAGAAGGUUUCUGUCUCAUUUCUACUCUGAAGCUCACCUUCUCCUGCUCAAACUGCUGACAAAUGUUUCUGCUGCUCUAAAGUCUGGCCUCCAGAACUUCCUAAAAACUCUCAAAGUCUCUUCUGCUGUAAGUUGCUUUGUAGAACUGUUCCAGAAAACCUCACUAAACCACAUGGAGGAGCCUCAAGAUAGUCGUCCAAAUGAAACCAUACAAAAACCAAACUAGCACAACCCAAACGCUAAAGUCUCCUGCAGCCUACCAGAGAACCUCUGAGAACAGAGAAUCAGGACAGGAACUCUUACCUUCUGGACAACCAACGUGGGUUCUCAAACAAGAAUACAGAAUGUGUCUGACCAAAAACCUCUAAAGACUCACUACAGCCAAGAUAAAGACACAACUCACCUGCACCAAAUCCACUAAUCACUGCACACAUUAGCACCAUGUGCUAACUGUGGCUAAAGAACCACAUUUACCAAGACAACUAUCCAGUACAAAGCCCUAAAACACACCAAGAAACACAUUAAACAUGAUUUUACUGCUGGAAGCUGCAAGCCAACGCCUAAAGAACAAACUACAGCAACAGAACCAAACCCGGUUCACUGGUGAAGAGAAACAGAGGAAAUGUUUGUCUGCAGCUAAAUAAAGCAGGAAGACACUGAGCUGCUCAGGUGUUCCUGAUAACACCAAGCAGCCACCUGGACAGCCAAUAGGAACACAGCUUCCUGGAAGUCCAGAGGGCUGGUUUAGUCAAGGAAAUUUAAAGUUGAGGCAGAAAGUUAACAAAGAAAGUUGAAAACCACCUUCUGAUCCCUGAAAUCUCUGAGUUUUCACACAGAGAACACCUGAACAUGUCAAACUGGUUCCAUAGUAGAACCAUCAUUGUAAAAACAUCAUAGUAUGGUGUGUUGCUCAAAAAACAUUAGGACCCGGCUGUCUAGGGUUGCAGAGGAGCAACACAAAAACAGGACAAACGCUGGUUUCCAGGGGGUUAGGAGGCUAUUUAUUUGAAAGAGUAAGUUUACAACAACACAACAUGUGAGCAGAAAAAUCACAAAGUCUGUCUUUAGUUCAGCUGAAAAUAUUAGUUUUUGUCUUUUUUCUUUUCUUUUCUUACAGUUACAGAAAUGGUUUGAUUGCAGUGAUUGCCUCAAAAGGUUGUGCAAUAAAAUAUUAAGUUAAGGGUACCAUCAUUUUUGUCCAGG